GGUUACCUACGGGACGCAGCAGUGGGGAAUAUUGCACAAUGGGGGAAACCCUGAUGCAGCGACGCCGCGUGAGUGAAGAAGUAUUUCGGUAUGUAAAGCUCUAUCAGCAGGGAAGAAAAUGACGGUACCUGACUAAGAAGCCCCGGCUAACUACGUGCCAGCAGCCGCGGUAAUACGUAGGGGGCAAGCGUUAUCCGGAUUUACUGGGUGUAAAGGGAGCGUAGACGGCAUGGCAAGUCAGAUGUGAAAGCCCGGGGCUCAACCCCGGGACUGCAUUUGGAACUGCGUGGCUUGAGGGUCGGAGG
rnacentral:rRNA from 1 species